rnacentral:rRNA from 1 species
UACAGAGGUCUCAAGCGUUGUUCGGAUUCAUUGGGCGUAAAGGGUGCGUAGGCGGCGCGGUAAGUCGGGUGUGAAAUCUUGGAGCUUAACUCCGAAACUGCAUUCGAUACUGCCGUGCUUGAGGACUGGAGAGGAGACUGGAAUUUACGGUGUAGCGGUGAAAUGCGUAGAUAUCGUAAGGAAGACCAGUGGCGAAGGCGGGUCUCUGGACAGUUCCUGACGCUGAGUGAGCGAAAGCCAGGGGAGCAAACGGG